UUCUUCCUCCGGUCCGACUCGUGAGCAUGCUCUUCUUACUUUUACCCAUGGUGUCAAGUAAAUGAUCUGUUGCUGUAAUAAGAUCACAUCAGUAUUGAGUGGGAGCUAUCGUAUGCAAGGACCAUCAGUAGUUGUAGAAGAUACUGAACAAGAUAUUUACAAUUGUUCUUUAUCUUUUUCAUCAACAUUAUUCUUUGACCAGGAAAUACUCACAAGUUAGGAAAUGGACACUUGGUUUAACUGGUGGCAAAGACUGAAUAGCAAUGAUUAUAGCCUCGGGGAGCAUUAGUCGUGUGCGGAGUCCAACA